GAUGAACGCUGGCGGCGUGCCUAAUACAUGCAAGUCGAGCGAACGGACGAGAAGCUUGCUUCUCUGAUGUUAGCGGCGGACGGGUGAGUAACACGUGGAUAACCUACCUAUAAGACUGGGAUAACUUCGGGAAACUGUAGCUAAUACCGGAUAAUAUUUUGAACCGCAAGGUUCAAAAGUGAAAGACGGUCUUGCUGUCACUUAUAGAUGGAUCCGCGCUGCAUUAGCUAGUUGGUAAGGUAACGGCUUACCAAGGCAACGAUGCAUAGCCGACCUGAGAGGGUGAUCGGCCACACUGGAACUGAGACACGGUCCAGACUCCUACGGGAGGCAGCAGUAGGGAAUCUUCCGCAAUGGGCGAAAGCCUGACGGAGCAACGCCGCGUGAGUGAUGAAGGUCUUCGGAUCGUAAAACUCUGUUAUUAGGGAAGAACAUAUGUGUAAGUAACUGUGCACACCUUGACGGUACCUAAUCAGAAAGCCACGGCUAACUACGUG
rnacentral:rRNA from 1 species